AGCUGGCGCCUCCCGACGACAUCCCAGUCGUCUGCGCUGGCUGUUCCCCUCUGGAGGUUUUGACCUUCACAACUGAAAGGGCCCUGGAGCGAUCCGGCGGCCCAUUUUU
rnacentral:sRNA from 1 species